rnacentral:rRNA from 1 species
AUUGAACGCUGGCGGCAGGCUUAACACAUGCAAGUCGAACGAGUGGCGGACGGGUGAGUAAUGGUUUGGAAACUGCCCGAUGGAGGGGGAUAAAUACUGGAAACGGUAGCUAAUACCCCAUACCAUCGGAAGGGACCAGAUGGGAUUAGCUAGUAGGUGGGGUAACGUCUCACCUAGGCGACGAUCCCUAGCCGGUCUGCGAGGAUGACCAGCCACACUGGAACUGAGACACGGUCCAGACUCCUACGGGAGGCAGCAGUGGGGAAUAUUGCACAAUGGGCGCAAGCCUGAUGCAGCCAUGCCGCGUGUAUGAAGAAGGCCUUCGGGUUGUAAAGUACUUUCAGCGAGGAGGCGUUACUCGCAGAAGAAGCAUCGGCUAACUCCGUGCCAGCAGCCGCGGUAAUAC